rnacentral:rRNA from 1 species
UGGGGAAUAUUGGACAAUGGGCGAAAGCCUGAUCCAGCAACGCCGCGUGGAGGAUGAAGGCCUUCGGGUUGUAAACUCCUGUCAGGUGGAACGAAAAGCCCGGGUGAAUAACCAGGGUCUAUGACGGUACCGCCAGAGGAAGCCCCGGCUAACUCCGUGCCAGCAGCCGCGGUAAUACGGAGGGGGCGAGCGUUAUUCGGAAUCAUUGGGCGUAAAGGGCGCGUAGGCGGCCCUGCAAGUCAGUGGUGAAAUCCCUCGGCUCAACCGAGGAACUGCCUCUGAAACUGCUGGGCUUGAGACCGGGAGAGGGUAGUGGAAUUCCGAGUGUAGCGGUGAAAUGCGUAGAUAUUCGGAGGAACACCAGUGGCGAAGGCGACUACCUGGACCGGUUCUGACGCUGAGGCGCGAAAGUGUGGGGAGCAAACAGGAUUAGAUACCCCCGUAGUCC